rnacentral:misc_RNA from 1 species
GAUGAAGAACGUAGCAAAAUGCGAUAAGUGAUGUGAAUUGCAGAAUUCAGUGAAUCAUCGAAUCUUUGAACGCACAUUGCGCCCCCUGGUAUUCCGGGGGGCAUGCCUGUCCGAGCGUCAUUGCUGCCCUCAAGCACGGCUUGUGUGUUGGGCCCCGUCCUCCGAUCCCGGGGGACGGGCCCGAAAGGCAGCGGCGGCACCGCGUCCGGUCCUCGAGCGUAUGGGGCUUUGUCACCCGCUCUGUAGGCCCGGCCGGCGCUUGCCGAUCAACCCAAAUUUUUAUCCAGGUUGACCUCGGAUCAGGUAGGGAUACCCGCUGAACUUAAGCAUAUCAAUAAGCGGAGGA